GCGUUUGGCAUAUGCUGGUUGGAUGGA
rnacentral:piRNA from 1 species